rnacentral:lncRNA from 1 species
AUUUAAAAAUUCAAAUUCAAAUAUAAUAAGAGGGUAAUAUUAUUAUUUUUUAUUUAUAAAACCCACUAUCCUUCUUAAUCCAUCUUACCUAACCAAACGCUAUUUUUUUUAUUCCCAAGAAUAACCUAAUUUUUAUCCAAACGCAAAAUUGAUCUAAUCCCCGCUUAUACCUCAAUUUAUACUUAUCCCUGUAAUAGCUACUUUUUGCUUAUCCCUGAACUAAACGAUACCUAAUAUCAUAAAUGUUAUGAUAUUAAAGUAUACAUGAUUGGAUCAUAUUUUAUAAAUAAAAUUUAUUUCCG